AUGGCCCUGUUUGAGAAGUUCUAUGUAGGCUCCAUUGACCUCACUAGGCUUAACUUUGGGAUAAUCACCCUCAUCCCCAAAGUCGCGGGCGCUUCGGAUAUCCGCCAAUUCCGCCCGAUCACGGUGAUUAAUGUCAUCUUCCGCAUCCUCGCGAAGGGGUACGCCAAUAGGGUGGCCCCUUUGGCGGACCGGAUCACUCACCCAGAUCAGUCAGCAAUCAUCUAGGGCCGCUAUAUCCUUGGCGGAGUCCUAGUUUUUCAUGAAGCUCUCCAUGAGGUGCACUCCAAACACCUUAAGGCGUUCUUCCUAAAAAUUGACUUUCACAAGGCAUAUGACACGGUUAGCUGGCCCUUCCUGCGGGAAUGA
rnacentral:rRNA from 1 species